GAAAAAUUCCUCAAAGGUGCUUCUUCUUCUUCAUCAUUAUUAUUACAAAACCCAUGUUCAAAAUUAAGGGAAUAACUGAAGGGAUCAUAACGAAACUCAGUAGAAGAGUGUCUUUUAUGCCUAUUUCCAACGAAAUUGAGAACAGUUAAGACCUUCUCUUUUAAAUUCGGGGGUUCUUCCGGGUUGACCCAGAUUAGACCCGGAUUUUCAUCGGAGGAUGAAGGCUGAGGUGGCGGAGGACGGCGGUGAGGGAAGCAACAGGAAAAGCAAAGAGAGUUCUUGAGUUUCUGUUUGAGAGAUGGACGUGAAGUGGCUAUGGAGAAUUGAUUGUUUUCGUCCAUUUGGAGUUGAAAUUCCAACUGAAAAAUGGUGGAGAAAAA